GAAAAGAAAAAAUAAAAAGGGGAAGAAAUUCAAGUAAAUGACAAUUUUUGGAAAUAACUAAUACUCUAGUGAGGAAAGAGGAGAAAAAAAAGAGGAGAUUUCUGUGGAGAAAUCCGAACAGUUUUCUUCUAAAAAUGCACGUUUUCCUGACGAUCGACUAUGAAGAAAUUGGAUUCCUCCCAAUUUGACAAUGACACGUUUACUCACAUUAGUUGGGUUUAUUUUAGCAGGAAAUCAAUAAAUCAAAAAAUCAACAUUUCCACGUGGUUGGAUCACCCACCUGCCAAUCUGAGAGCAGACAUCCGUUGAAAUUCUGGUUCUUCCAGCCACUUGUACAUUCUCCGGAAUGUUUCU